rnacentral:rRNA from 1 species
GACGUAGGUGGCGAACGUUAUCCGGAAUUAUUGGGCGUAAAGGGUGCGUAGGCGGCAUGAUAAGUUAUUGGCGGCAAAUCGAGGCUCAACCUCGUGGAAACUGAUAAUACUGUCUUGCUUGAGUGCAGAAGAGGUUAACGGAACUCCAUGUGGAGCGGUAAAAUGUGUAGAUAUAUGGAAGAACAUCAAUAACGGCGAAGGCAGUUAACUAUUCUGUUA